CCAGGUGGCAGCUUUCCUGUCUGUAAAAUGGAAAGGAGAAAACUUGCAUCUCACGGUGUUACAAGCUUAGAGCCAGCCAGGUUUCCCUCCCCACUCCCCAGGGUCCCAGGCCUUCUCACCAGCCCCAGAUACAGGAAGACUCAAGUUUGUGUCGUGUCCAGGCUAGGGAUGGUGAGGACAGAUGACAUCAGAGCAGGCAUGCUGCUAUGGGCCUUGAGAUAGGGACCAGGAAAUCCUAAGAAACAGAGGAAGAGGACUUCUGACCUUCAACUUCAAUCUCUUUUCUUUGCAGCUAGGAAAACUGAAGCUUAAGAGAGAGUCACAGCUAUUGUCUGAGUGUUAUUUGGACACUAGUUUGUCCUGCAGCCUGGGAAGGGACUGUGACAGAGACCAGCCAGGUACUCAGGCUCUGAACUUCCCAGAGAAUGUCUCUCUACCUGAGAGGAAGGGGUCAUGCUCAUGGACCUGGAGGAAAGUGUGGCUACAGAAGCAAGGGAAGCAAGACUGGCCUUCUUCCCAUCCUAGGCCAAGUUAUCUGUCCUUGAACUCACAGACCUCAAAAAUGAAAGAGUCCAGACUUGGGAGUCUGCACCUGUAGAAGCAAGGCUGUCUCAUGAGAAUACAAAUGAAUCUCCAGUCCCACACUGCAGAGCUGAAGUUGAGCCUUUGAAUCACCUCUUUAAAAGCCUACUGUUCCCCCUGACAGAAUCAUAGCCUCUGGGAUAGAAGUCCCCUCUGUCUCCUUUGCUAGCAAAGCAAUAAAAUAUUUUUUUUCUUUUUCUCAAAA